rnacentral:rRNA from 1 species
UACAGAGGUCUCGAGCGUUAGGCGGAAUCACUGGGCUUAAAGCGUGUGUAGGCGGACUUGUAAGUACCUUGUGAAAUCCCACGGCUCAACCGUGGAACUGCUUGGUAUACUGCUUGUCUUGAGCCACUUAGGGGCUACCGGAACAAAUGGUGGAGCGGUGAAAUGCGUAGAUAUCAUUUGGAACGCCAAUGGUGAAAACAGGUAGCUGGGAGUGUGCUGACGCUGAGACACGAAAGCCAGGGGAGCGUACGGG